rnacentral:rRNA from 1 species
AUUGAACGCUGGCGGCAUGCCUUACACAUGCAAGUCGAACGGUAACGGGCCUUCGGGUGCCGACGAGUGGCGAACGGGUGAGUAAUACAUCGGAACGUGCCCGAUCGUGGGGGAUAACGAGGCGAAAGCUUUGCUAAUACCGCAUACGAUCUACGGAUGAAAGCAGGGGACCGCAAGGCCUUGCGCGGACGGAGCGGCUGAUAGCAGAUUAGGUAGUUGGUGGGAUAAAAGCUUACCAAGCCGACGAUCUGUAGCUGGUCUGAGAGGAUGAUCAGCCACACUGGGACUGAGACACGGCCCAGACUCCUACGGGAGGCAGCAGUGGGGAAUUUUGGACAAUGGGCGCAAGCCUGAUCCAGCCAUGCCGCGUGCAGGAUGAAGGCCUUCGGGUUGUAAACUGCUUUUGUACGGAACGAAAAGCCUUCUUUUAAUACAGGAGGGUCAUGACGGUACCGUAAGAAUAAGCACCGGCUAACUACGUG